CUGUCUGUAGCACCAUGCUAUAUCCUGGUUCCAGUUCUGGAAAAUGCUCAGCUUUUUGCAAAGACUGUGCAGGACUCAGGCAAUCCUACCUAACAAUCAAUCUGUUAAGCUUCAGUUUCUCUUAAGUCCUGUAUUGUCUUGGACAGAAGUUCAAUAAAAUUGUCUUUCUAUCCACAACAUCAGGAUUCUCAACAUUGUUGGAACUGAGUGUUAUAGACCUAUAGCCUAUCUCUACUGAGAAACCUGAACUCCCCUGCCUGUGUUAUUAGACAGCAGGCUGCUGGCAAAAGGAAGAUACCACUUGUAAAUUGAUGCAUUGCUUCUACUUUUUUCAGUCAAUUAAUUUAUGUCAUAAUUUCUGCAUGCUUCCUUUCCACAGAUUCAAAUGUUUAGAUAUCAAAAAGGAGCAUAACUGUUCUGUUGCUGCUGUUGGUAUUUUGGUUGGUACCUUUUAUUAUAUAAAGCCUUCCUUGUUUUAGUCACUUAUUUCCUGCUUCUCUAUACAGUGAAGUUAUCACACAGUGUUACAACAUGGCACCCUGACUUCCCACCUCAUCAGACACAAAGUUCAGGGACUGUUUAAAGUCUCACUUGAUUCCUUUGCUCCUAGCCACAUACAAGUUCCACUAGAUAUGUCAGUAGUACGUAUAGUUUGAAAAUGAAAAAGGCACACUGAUAUUUACAUAGUUAGACUGAUGAUGCAGCAGUAGAUAGAGCUCAUAUAUUUGUUCAAGCCUGCAACCACAAAAUCCAAUCCUACCUAGCCAUAAAGCAUUCUAUCUCUUUAGCUUUCUGGAUCCUUUACAUUACAUUCAAGUAACUUUUUAACAAAUGGAAAUUUUGUGGCUGUGUGCAGUGACUGAACUCACUGACCUAGAAGGACACUUACAAAUUCUAAUACCUCUUUUAAUUUUCAUUCUUUUGUUCUAGCAUCAAAUGUUAUCUUAAUUUUAACCUUCUUUUACCCUUCCUCUGCUCACUGGUAUAUUUACCACUAACCAUAGACUUUUUCUCUUUUUUCUUGAUUUUUGUAUUUGGAGGCAAGACAUGAACAGAAAUGAGGAUGAGGAAUGUGUAGAACUGAUUCAGUGUUGUAGGCUGAAUGGUACUUGCACACUGUAAGGCUCAGCCUGUGAUCUUAUUUUCUGUUUGUCAGUCACCUUCAGUGGUACUUUUCUGGUGAAUUUCAUGUAGUUUCACUACACAUGCAUUACUCCUGGGAAUGCUGUGUGUGGAAUGUCUUUUACAUUUCCUAAAGAGUAUGUUUCUGUGCAUGUAUUUAGGAUAUGAAGACUGUUCUGCAGCUGACACAAGCAUGAUUACUAGGUAAUAUGUACACAAUGAAAUGUCUUUCUGUCCAUUGUUAACAGUGUUCUGAAAACAAGGCUGCAACCCAUCAGAAAAAAAGAUUAGGGCAACUGUAUUAUCAGUGAUUAAAAAGUGAAAGUGUGAGGGCUCACCUGACUCAUAGGUACUCUAUUGAAGUUGUAAGACUAAUCAUCUGAAUAAUGAAAGAUUAUUUGUCCCAGUUUUAUUUCAGUCUAAAUUAGAAGAUGAUACUUCCUGCAAAAACACAAAUGUUCCCUGCUUCAUUGCUGUAAUAAUGGGUUUGUUCCUGACAUGUAUCAGCAUGAGCUCAGAUAUGUUACUCAGGAAAAACUAAUAAGAGAAAACUCCAUUCAGCUCUGCUAGCUAUAAUGAGCUUGUAUUUGUCAAAUGGCUUUAUGGUUAAAUGGAAAGUUAAUGACAAACAACCUUUCUGAACUGCUGGGUACACCAUCCAUGUGCUGGCUGUGAUGUCUGCCUUCAGCAAAUGCUUCAGGAGGUAAUCUGUAUGGGUGAGAAAAUGAAUAUACAAUUUCAUCGUUAACAGACAAAGAUGCAACGAAGAGGACAUACAAGAACAUUAAAAAUAUGCUUUUGUUUACCUGUGCAACUUCUGUGUGUUCUCACUAAAUGCUGUCAACAACAUAGAAUUUAGGGAUCAGAUCAUAAGAGCAUUAUAACAUGAUUUAUACAAGGUUCUUUUUUUUUCCAAACCUUACUGAAUUUCAAAAACAUUACUGGUGGUUUUGCUUUAAGUGGACCACUGCUAAGAAGCUUAGCUACAAUCUAUCCUUUUAUGCAUCCUGGGGAAUGCAUAUGAAGUGCUGCACUCCCAGGAAAGAUAUGAGGAGGAAUCUUUGGAAGCCUAGAAGGAAUAUGUUUUGAAAUGUCUCCCUUGACCUUAUUUUGAUGUUGCUCUGAGGAUAGUGCAUUGGGAAUGAUCCUUAACUGAUCUCAAAUUACUGCAUCCUAAGUGAGUUUCCUAACAAUAAUCCAUAUUUGCUAUCUCAUCUCUUGUACAUUUACACAUGUAUCCUCCUACCCCACAUAGCAAGAAAGCUGGCAUUUGUUUGCCUUGUGAACUGUGUGAGACCUACUCAGUCUACUUGACUUUCCUUUAUAUUUAUAAACAAGGAGACUAAACAUUA
ensembl:lncRNA